rnacentral:piRNA from 1 species
UCCUCCAGUUCAGAAACAGUAAAUGAAUGGUC